rnacentral:misc_RNA from 1 species
UACUCUCACACUUCUGAUCCUUUGGAUUUGGAGCGGUGGACUUGGGUGUUGUCACUUUGCAGUGGCUCACCUCUAAUGCAUUAGUGCAACUCUUGGUUGACCAUAGUACGGCGUGAUAAGUAUCUUCGCCGGCACCUCGCAAGGGGGUGGCUGAUUGGGAGCUCUGUGCUUUCAAACCGUCCUUGGACAAUGGCUGACA